UUGCCUGGGUAAGAGAGAGUGCGGCCGAGCUAAGGAGAGAGCAGGGGCCCAUGCUGAGCUGGGGAGCAGAGCUGUGCUAGCCAGAGAAGCAAAGAAGCAACCCAGAAAGCAGAGUCCACAACCUCCCUGGGCAAUUUAUUCCAAUGCUUAACUACCCUGACUGGUAGAGAAUGUUUCCUAAUGUCCAACCUGAACCACACAGCCUGCAAUGGAAGCCGAUUGCUUCUUGUCCUUUCCUGGGGCUAAGGAGAACAACCGAUCGCCCCUCCUCUAGAAUAAAGCAACUCUUCCUUAUCCCUGUCUGGCUGUUGUUGGCUCUCAGCUAGGUGGACCCGAUAUUUCAGUGACAGUUUCUGGCGACUCCGCCGGGACUCUCCUAGCUCGGACAUUGGACUCCGGAUGGCUGAGGUGAACUGGGAACGGCGCCAACGGGGUGUUUUGCCCCUUUUCUCUGCUUCACCACGGCCCUGGGGUUCGUGUUCCGAUAAGGUGUGUGGACUGAACUGAGCCUCUCAUUCAUAAUUCCUCAGAGUGGAAGCCAUCGCGUGCGAUGAAGCUCUGAGGUCGAAUUGGGAUCCUUCUGUCUCGUCCCCUGUAGCGGUCAGUAUUAGUAGAAAUUCCUGUAAUAGGAUCCUAUUAGGCCAUAAUUCCCUCUGUUCUCUGUGUAAUUCUCUGUUAGAGUGUCAGCAGGCAGAUGGGUGGGUCUCUGGUAAAACCCUCUAAGGAUAACCCUUUGAAUUAUAUGUUAAGUAAAUGGCCUUUACCCGGUGUUCAAAAAAAGAAAUAGUUACACCUUGUGUAAAAAUUGAUGUGACUCGUGUUGUGGAAAUUGAAUUGUGGAGAGGAUGUGCAUUUUCCCCAGAACAUGUGCAAUGUAUAUUGUAGUAGAGGUAAAAGAAAUGCAAACCUACUAAUAUAGGUUGUGUUGUCUUUUUCAAAUCACUGUAUGUUUGAAAGCAGAAGUUAGAAGUAAAAGGCAAUCAAAAGUCUGGAAAAGUUAAUUGUGUCCCUUUUUAAGUAAAAAUCUUUAAGCUGUGGAUAGCUUUGAAUCUGAAAGCAAGCCAGAAAGCAUCUGUAUUAAUGCAAUUUUCUAACUAAUAAGGUAGAAACCACUGAAACCUGGGCUGCCUAUAAAACACAUACAAGGAAAUAUGGGGUAAUUCCUCUGUUUUGCCUAAAAUCAACAAAAGUAUGUGUAUAUAAAAAAAAUAUUUUAAGCAAUGACUGACUGCCCAGAAGGGGUAGACCUCUGUUCUUUUGUCUUUCAGAUCAUCAGAGAAAAUGGAUGCCAGCUGAAUAGCAUUCAACGUACCAUGCAUUUACUAGCACAAUAGAAAUUAUUUUUGUGUUCUAUGGCCAAAAUUGUUAUUAAAAUUUGCAUACCAACAGUCUUUAGAAGCAAGGACAUGGAAGGUUAACCCACUCCCCAUAUUGCCCAUGGGAUCCUUCUGGCUACCUCAGAUUUCUAGCCAAAGGGCUGGGAAGGGAGGAAAGCUAUUGGACACCAGAGGUUGUACCGAGCGGACUCCUCAAAAGUAUGUGUGCUUGUCCUGGUUUGUUGCUCCAAAGCUCUGUAAUAAAGUUAUUUUACUAGAAGGGUGUACAUGGCAUACAUUAAGUAAUAAAACUAAUGUACUGUAUAAUG